UAAAGAAUGAAAUGGAAACACACAGUGCAGGUUGAGGGGGCAAACUGAAUGCAGAUGGCAGGUGAGAUGUUGGAUGUGGACGACUAAUCUGUGUCAUACUGAUUGAUGGCUUUACAAUGUAAUACAUUUAGCGUUUGUUUGCUUAAAUCACACACCUCUGGCUAGAUAGUCAAAGGGAACGAAAUCGUUCUAUUCAGGGAAAUAUCUGCACUGCAGUGAGCAUUACUGCAUUAUUUAGGACAUCUGAGUUGCAGAAUGAGCUAAAAUGUCUGUUCACACAUGGGUGGACAGAAAAUUUAUGUCAGCCAUGAAUUAAGACAGUGCUAGGACAGAAGAAGGGCACUACUUGGAAACCUGAAAUGUAAGACUCAUAGAGCCUUGGAGUGUAAAGGUUGUCCUGAGGGCUGGGUGAAGAGGGAAACGGGGAGAUGUUGGCCAAAGGUUACAAACGUUGAGUUGUAAAAUAAAAUAGUGCAACCCGCACAUCUAACGUACAGCCUGCUGACUGUAGUUACUCUCAUAGUGCGACUGUAUACUUGGAAUCACCACACAGAGACAAAAUGGUAAUCUCGAGUUGACAGAAGUAUAAAUUACUUUCUUGUGAGAAUUAUUGCACAGUGUGUACACUUGUCAAAUAAUCGCUUUGUAGGCCUCACCACGAGUGGAGUGAGAUACCAAGAAAUGUGAAGAAGUGCCUGGUUGGCCUCUGUGUGGUUUCCUGUCCUGAGUCCCUCCUGUGACAGUGGGCAGAAGAGGACUGUUUAGUGCACGUGCUUGAAAGAUUGAUCUCUGAAGACUCCACUUGUCUGAGGAAGAAGUCGGGAAGAAGAGGAAGAAGAAAGAAAAGGAGUCAGGAAUGGCUCCUUCUCAGGAGCAUUAAACAGAAGGUUUUCAGCUUGAAAGAUUGAUCUCUGAAGAAUCCACUCAUCUGAGGAAGAAGUCGGGAAGAGGAGGAAGA
rnacentral:lncRNA from 1 species